rnacentral:lncRNA from 1 species
UGGCUCUGCACUGCCUGGGUCUGUUAUGGUGUGGAGGAAUGUCUUAGUCUGUUGCUCCUGUGGGUGUAGCUAAAGCACGAACCAGGAGUCUUCAUCCUUAGAAAGCAGUUAGACAGACACCUGAGAACCAAUCCCAAACUGCAGCCUUCCACAGAACCUUCUGGAACCUUCCCGAAUGCAACUCAUUACUGCCAGAGGGUCUUUGAUGAGAGUCUACUCUCCACCAUUUGUCUUC